rnacentral:rRNA from 1 species
GACAGAGGGGGCAAGCGUUGCUCGGAAUUACUGGGCGUAAAGGGCGCGUAGGCGGGAUGGCAAGUCGGUCGUGAAAUCCCUCGGCUCAACCGAGGAACGUCGAUCGAUACUGCUGUUCUUGAGGAUUGCAGAGGAGACUGGAAUUCCCGGUGUAGCGGUGAAAUGCGUAGAUAUCGGAAGGAACAUCAGUGGCGAAAGCGACUUCCUGGACCAGUACCGACGUUCAGGCACGAAAGCGUGGGGAGCAAACAGG